rnacentral:misc_RNA from 1 species
AGGAAAAAAUAAGUACGAAAGCAGCGGGCAUCGAGCAUCGAGGGGGAGAUUGGAAGACAGGCGAAACCCUAGCAACAGAAUCUCUCCCGGUUUGCGGGAGCAAGUUAUCGAUCGUUGGCUUUCUUCCAUCCGCCCCAGAAAAGAUGGUCAGUGCUAGCUGUUUGUUCGACUUCUGUUCAGUUUUGACAGUUAUUGGAGUUCUCCUCCAAAAUAAGCUAGGAAUAGGGCGCCGGGACAAAGUUCAGCAGUUUAUGACCAUCACUGGGGCGAGUGAAAAAGUUGCUCUUCAGGCUCUGAAGGUCAGUGAUUGGAAUCUUGAAGGAGCAUUUGAUGUAUUUUACAGCCAGUCACAAGUCAAGUCAUCUGCUGAUGCAAGGCGGUUGGAGGAGCUUUACAAUAGAUACAAAGACCCGUAUGCUGACAUGAUUUUGGCUGAUGGGAUUAGCCUCCUUUGCAAUGACAUGCAGGUUGAUCCUCAAGAUAUAGUUAUGUUGGUUCUUUCAUGGCACAUGAAAGCUGCAACCAUGUGUGAAUUCUCCAAGCAG